AUGUGUCAGAGCCAACAGAUGCUGAGAUCGCUACUUUCCUGGGAGAGCUACAUGCUACAGGUCCAGACACAGAUGCUUGUAUGCAAUAAGGAGUUUGCUGAUUUUGUUGUAUGGUCAGAAAAUGAUGUACACACAGAGAGGAUAGAACCAGAUAUUGGACUCUGGGAAGUAAUCAAGUCAAAAUCUAGGGAUCUUUUUUCCAAAGCCCUUCUCCCAGAGCUUGUGGGCAAACUUUUCUCAAGGCCAUGUCCAUCAGCAAUGCCGACUGACACAGCUGAUGUGACUGAAGUGGAUCCCUCUGAAAUCAGAGAAAAGCCAAUCCCAUCAGACAUCAUCUGUGUGUGCAAGCAACCAUACAAAGUUCGUGACCAUGUGGUGCGUUGUCACAGUGAGGACUGCCUUCAUAUAUGGUUCCAUCUCUCAUGUAUGAACAUGAAACGUAUGCCUAACAAAGGGAGCAAAUGGUACUGUUUGGUGUAGAACAGCUGGAGUGUGAUGGUAAAGUAUAGACACACACAUCUGAUGUGACUGAAGUGGAUCCCUCUGAAAUACAGAGAAAAGCCAAUCCCAUCAGACAUCAUCUGCGUGUGCAAGCAACCAUACAAGUUCGUGACCAUGUGGUGCGUUGUCACAGUGAGGACUGCCUUCAUAUAUGGUUCCAUCUCUCAUGUAUGAACAUGAAACGUAUGCCUAACAAAGGGAGCAAAUGGUACUGUUUGGUGUGAACAGCUGGAGUGUGAUGGUAAAGUAUGACACACACAUGAAAUGAGGAUUCUGAUGUAACAGGUUUUUAUUAUAAUUUGUAUUUACAGUUCAUUGUUUUGUCAUUCUAUACAAAAAAUAUGAAAUUCAGUACCAUUUCUAAUGAAUGGCUUUAAUGCUUAAAUGUAAGAUGACUAUUAAAAUAACUUCGACUUAUUCCAUACUGAACCUGACAUUUGUGAUUUAAGAUGUUAAGGUAACACAAUACAUGUAUUAAAGGGAUAGUUCACUUUAAAAUGAAAAUUGUCAUCAUAUACUCAUCCUUCAAGUUAUCCAAUCCUGUAUGAAUUUGAAGGAAAAUAUCAUACAGGUUUGAAACAACUUGAAGGUGAGUAUAUGAUGACAAUUUGCAUUUUAAAGUGAACUAGCCAUUAAACAACCCGUUUUACACCCACACACAUCUAGUCAAAAGGUAAGAACCGAGGAGCACAUGUUGGUAAGGCAACAACACACUGUAGUUAUCUUAUCGAUAACCUCUAUCUCAGAUCCUGAUGUCACCAGGUAGGAGAUGGGUAUCUUCUCUGACAGUAUCCUGUAUUUAUUGCGCACCAAUCCUAUCACUCUUUCUACAUGUAUGUGGACAUGUGCGAUUUUGCGGGUGGCCUCAACUUCAAGAGCAGACAGCUGUAGCUUUCCUCGAGUAUAACUGGGUGUUACAACUUUUGCACAUUUUAACCCUACCCUCUCUUGUAUAUUAAAACCUCUGUCUGCCAAGAUGAAAUCACCGGAGUUAAGUAGCUCGAAAGACUUUGCUGUGGGGAGUUGGCUGAAAGUUUAGUCUAUUUAUUCUAGCUAGCCACAAGUCUCUCCUGCGCUGGCUCAACUCCUCUGUCUCCUUCCCUUCACAUUUUCUUACAGUCGGUAUUACAUAAAAACUCACUCCGGGAUUCUUAAUACUGUUGUUAGAACAGCCGUGUAUUACACAACACACCAUUGCGCCGGUAAAGCUCGAAAGACUUUGCUGUGGGGAGUUGGCUGAAAGUUUAGUCUAUUUAUUCUAGCUAGCCACAAGUCUCUCCUGCGCUGGCUCAACUCCUCUGUCUCCUUCCCUUCACAUUUUCUUACAGUCGGUAUUACAUAAAAACUCACUCCGGGAUUCUUAAUACUGUUGUUAGAACAGCCGUGUAUUACACAACACACCAUUGCGCCGGUAAAAAAUAAAUAAAUACAGCGAUAAUACGACGAUGCCUUGCUUUUUUUUUUUUUUUUUUUGUUUACGACGAACGUGUACGAACGUUAGGUUCCGGUCGGUUUCGGUUUAC
rnacentral:lncRNA from 1 species